AUAAUUUUGAUUUUUGGCUGAACUAACCCUUUAAUGCAUAUUCGGUCUUUUACUUGCACCUCUGAAUUUAUCAGGAUUUAGUUUCAAUUUUAGUCCAGCUCCAUGUUCAAUCUGACUCCAAUUUUUAAGUGAUCAUUAAAUUUAGGCAAUGUUUCUAUAAAAAACUGAUCACAAAUGCUGAUUAUGUAGUAAUUUAGAUAUUUUGAUUAUUCUGAACAUCCCGUAUUUUCAAUUAUUUGUUCAUUAGGGAGCCGGUAUUGCACAGAGAACUUAAGCCGGCCGGUCGCAGUCUCUCGGACACAAACUCGUCAGUUCUGAUCUUAGACAGCGGAUGCAGGGUGAAUAUCUACUUUUAAGUUUGCCAUGCUCUGCCUGCUCCAACAAAAAGCAUAGGUUUUGUAUAUUCACGAAAACUGCAAUUUACUAAGGCAGUGAUAGUCAGAAAUCAAAAAGGUCUCAAAUGAUGUGCCCCAUGCUCCAUUCAUUGAGCCUUCUGUAUGAUCUAUCCUGAACACAGAUUUGCGGUAAUACUAGACUCCACUUUAAUCUACUAGAAAUAAUAACAGAGAAAAACUGAAUAAAAUCAAAUAUAACAAUUUAGUAUCAGUCAGGUAAAUAUGUAUUAUGCCAAUUACAUAGCCAAUUCAAAGAUAUCAAAUCAAUACAAGACAUCAAAUUCUCAAAGAUGAAUCUAAGCGUAAGAUGCAUACCUGACUUUUAGAAAAAUACAUAGUUUGAAGGGUGUGGAUAUACUACAUAUUAUGGGCUCAUUCUGGCUGCAGAAUCGCAAAAAUAUGAGAGCACUCGAGUCUGCAGCUUCCAACUUGGGGAUGCACGCACACAGGAAAGGAAGAGUGUUUGAUGUGCACUGGCUGUCUUCAUCCUGAACGUCUGUGCUGGCUCUUUGGGAAAGCAAUCCAGCAUUGCUCAAACUCUUUGAAAAGUUAAGGGAAAACAAACCAAGAUCUGCCACGGAGAGGACCAGAUGUAUAGACAUUCAUGCUAAAAUGACACAAUGGCUUUUUUUGGUGGAGAUGUCAUUGGUAAAAGAUGCGCUGGAGACCCUGAAGGCCUUAUCCCUGUUUCUUCAGUGGAGAGACACCACAGCUGUCAGUGCUAACUCUGCAGUGAGAACACUGCGGUCAAUGAGACAAGCUAAUAAUGUGAACGCAAGAUGCAUGAAUGAAGAAUUUGAAAGUUUCUACACAUUCAAGGGUGUAAAUGUGUCUCAACCAAGUGACGGAGACCAUCGAAUGAAUUUUAAUUUCCCUGGAUGACAAUGGAAUUAUUUCUGCUGCAGUUGCUAUAAAAUCCGUUAAAUUGGCCAUCUGAUGAAGACGAAUGCAUCCUAUAUGGAGAUGACAAACUUCUCACGAUACACAAGACUCACUGUUGCGGACUCAAACAGUCCCAUACUCCGUAAGUAAUUACACAAAUUGAAGUGUCAUGAUGUCACAAGAGAGAAUCUGUGCAAAGUACUCCCCUACUGUCUCUAUGCUUCCAAUCACAACAGCCGAGUGUUGAAGAGGAUCCAGUGCCAUGAACUAUAUUCUCACCGAUGGUAGACACAGAAUGAACGUCCCCACACUAAACAACCUACUAUUUCCAUUUCAGUAAAUAGACCAGGGGUUGCCUCAUUUCCUGCACAAAGAUUUGUGGAGAUGUGGGUGAAAUCAGAUGAUCCUUGCACAGGAAAGUCCGUCAUCAAAGCAGGAUGUUUUCUUAGUCUGACAAAUAAGCAUCACCAGUGUUGGCUGGUGGAACAUUUUUUAGGUAGGGCAUCACGUCCAACAAUUUUAGCAUAGAUCCCAGCAUGAUUUAUCCCAGUAUAACAAAAGGAAAAAUAUUAAGACUUGAAACAAAUGUCUUAAUGUCACUUGAUGAACUUGCUUGAUAGUGAUCAUAAAAGUGUUGAUGCGGAUCCUUAUCAAUAAAAAUGUUGGGUUUCCAGGAAACCAAUAUUUUUUCCAAGUUUUCCGGAAUGCCCAUCAACAGUCUUGAAACAGAAUUGGAGUUAAAAAUCAAAUGCUCAGAUGAGGAGCCUCGUAGCUGACUGCGGUGGUGGAAGCCAUGUUGCUUUUUGGACAGUGCAAUCUGUGCACUACCAAAUAUUGAGGAUGUAUUGUGCUCUUCUACCUGGUGCCAUAAAAUAAAGGCCAAAAUGAAAAUUGGGACAAAAAAACAACAAAUUUAAAACAUGAGGUUAUAGUGCUAAGAAAAGUUUGAAGGAUUGUUUAGGGUAGGGUUUCUUGAUUCUGUCCUGGAGUUUAUUUUGUUUAUUUUUGUCUACCUUAUCUGACACACCAGACCAUUCAGGUCUUGGAGUCUCUACCAGGGUUGCCAGGUUUUCACAACAAAACUAGCCCAAUAAUACCAAAACUCAAAAUAUGACACUCCCAUACGUAAAAUACGUUUUACAUCACUGUAUGCAUUAUACACAGUUUCUUUUUUUUCUUUUUUAAAUCUCUGUAUAUUAGUAUUAUAUAACAUUUUCAUAAAUAAAAUCACCUUACCUGAAGAUUGACAGCUGAUGAACCAAAUCCUUCUGUGGGUUGUGGUAAAUCUUUUUUAGAACUGUCUGAAUGAACUAUUUACAGAUCUUUUCUGAUUCUACUUAUCUUCUUCUUGGUUCUUGUCAUACAUCUCUGCAUCUUUUGAUCAAAUUCAUCUCUGAGAAUGUGCAUUCAACCGCUGCAUUGCUGAAUGAAGAUAAGGUCCAUCUUCUAAGACAAAUUAGAAAAAGUGACAUGGAGAUGGACCUUAUACAGCUUCAAAUGGAAGAGAAAAGACUUUACAUAAAAAAGGCCACACUUGAAAUUGAAUUGCUGGAGCACCGGCUUAAGGAGAUAAAGAAACAAUGAACAACACUUGACAUUGCUGACUUUUUAAAGUUUUUGACAGAUAAUGUCUUUUACCACCCUGCCAUCUCUUUGGUAUACUCUUGGGGUCAUCUUCAUCAAGGGAAGCAGGAGGUCUCUCACCUCUUAUUGUGGCGAUGUUGUGAAGAACAACACAAGCCUCUAUAAUGUUUCAUGUGUUUUGCUGUGAGCCAGGUUGAAUCGUGUCUGUGGUCCAGGCUCAGGUUCAGGAUAGGGUGUCAUCAUAUAGGGCAGACAAGGGUACCCAAGUUACUGGGGAUGGGUAAUGAGUGUGAUUUAAUGGUUACACACUCGAAGAUUUAGCAACCAAAAUGACAUUGUUACCUGCACAUAGAUGCUAUGGAUUGACUUCCUAUUAACAUAGUCCCCUUCAUUGACUGAAAGAGCUUUAAUAGGAAUGUGGGUUCCAUCAAUACACCUAAUCACAUUUGGUAACACUGAAAUAAUUAGAAAAAAAUUCAGAAAAUUUAUGGCUGUGUAUACAGUAUGUAUAUAUGGAUAGAUUAAGUAGUGAAUGUUCUCUGCUACAAUUAUCACAGAAAGGACGAACCCCCACUCUGUGGAAUUCCUCUUUAUGGACUCUCGGGGGUUUUUGGCCAGGGAACUGCACAGCAAGAGAGCAAGGCAUACUGUAUGAACGGCCCUACACACAGCUGUCUUUCCCACAUUCUCCACAUCACCCACAUUAUACAAAAAACUUCCCGUUGCAAAAAAGGGCAAUGGGCAAAAUGUGCUCUGUGUUAAACCCUGAU
ensembl:lncRNA